AGAGUUUGAUUCUGGCUCAGAUUGAACGCUGGCGGCAGGCUUAACACAUGCAAGUCGAGCGGAAACGAAGGUAGCUUGCUACCAGGCGUCGAGCGGCGGACGGGUGAGUAAUGCUUAGGAAUCUACCGAGUAGUGGGGGAUAGCCAUUGGAAACGAUGAUUAAUACCGCAUAUAUCCUACGGGGGAAAGCAGGGGACCUUCGGGCCUUGCGCUAUUCGAUGAGCCUGAGUGAGAUUAGCUAGUUGGUGGGGUAAAGGCCUACCAAGGCGACGAUCUCUAGCUGGUCUGAGAGGAUGAUCAGCCACACUGGGACUGAGACACGGCCCAGACUCCUACGGGAGGCAGCAGUGGGGAAUAUUGCACAAUGGACGAAAGUCUGAUGCAGCCAUGCCGCGUGUGUGAAGAAGGCCUUCGGGUUGUAAAGCACUUUCAGCGAGGAGGAAAGGUCAGUAAGUAAUAUUUGCUGGCUGUGACGUUACUCGCAGAAGAAGCACCGGCUAAUUUAGUGCCAGCAGCCGCGGUAAUACUAAAGGUGCAAGCGUUAAUCGGAAUUACUGGGCGUAAAGCGCGCGUAGGUGGUUUGUUAAGUUGGAUGUGAAAGCCCAGGGCUCAACCUUGGAACUGCAUUCAAAACUGACUCACUAGAGUACGAGAGAGGUUAGUGGAAUUUCCUGUGUAGCGGUGAAAUGCGUAGAGAUGGGAAGGAACACCAGUGGCGAAGCGACUGACUGGCUCGAUACUGACACUGAGUGCGAAAGCG
rnacentral:rRNA from 1 species